UGGGGGAUAUUGCACAAUGGGCGAAAGCCUGAUGCAGCGACGCCGCGUGGGGGAUGAAGGCUUUCGGGUUGUAAACCUCUUUCGCUAUCGAACAAGGCCCGCUUAGGGUGGGUUGAGGGUAGGUGGAGAAGAAGCGCCGGCUAACUACGUGCCAGCAGCCGCGGUAAUACGUAGGGCGCGAGCGUUGUCCGGAAUUAUUGGGCGUAAAGGGCUUGUAGGCGGCUUGUUGCGCCUGCUGUGAAAACGCGGGGCUUAACUUCGCGCGUGCAGUGGGUACGGGCGGGCUUGAGUGUGGUAGGGGUGACUGGAAUUCCAGGUGUAGCGGUGGAAUGCGCAGAUAUCUGGAGGAACACCGAUGGCGAAGGCAGGUCACUGGGGCAUUACUGACGCUGAGGAGCGAAAGCAUGGGUAGCGAACAGG
rnacentral:rRNA from 1 species